rnacentral:rRNA from 1 species
UGCCUUACACAUGCAAGUCGAACGGCAGCAUGAUCUAGCUUGCUAGAUUGAUGGCGAGUGGCGAACGGGUGAGUAAUACAUCGGAACGUGCCCUGUAGUGGGGGAUAACUAGUCGAAAGAUUAGCUAAUACCGCAUACGACCUGAGGGUGAAAGUGGGGGACCGCAAGGCCUCAUGCUAUAGGAGCGGCCGAUGUCUGAUUAGCUAGUUGGUGAGGUAAAGGCUCACCAAGGCGACGAUCAGUAGCUGGUCUGAGAGGACGAUCAGCCACACUGGGACUGAGACACGGCCCAGACUCCUACGGGAGGCAGCAGUGGGGAAUUUUGGACAAUGGGCGAAAGCCUGAUCCAGCAAUGCCGCGUGUGUGAAGAAGGCCUUCGGGUUGUAAAGCACUUUUGUCCGGAAAGAAAUGGCUCUGGUAACACCUGGGGUCGAUGACGGUACCCGGAAG